GCAUAUCAAUAAGCGGAGGAAAAGAAACUAACAAGGAUUCCCUUAGUAACGGCGAGUGAAGCGGGAAGAGCUCAAAUUUGAAAUCUUCAAGGUUCUACCUUGACGAAUUGUAGUUUAAAGAAGUGUUUUCUGUUAGAUGAGUAGCAAAAGUUCCUUGGAAUGGGACAUCAUAGAGGGUGAGAAUCCCGUAUUUGGUUAUUCAUUCUAGCUUUGUGAUACACUUUCAAAGAGUCGGAUUGUUUGGGAAUGCAGUCCAAAAUGGGUGGUAAAUUUCAUCUAAAGCUAAAUAUUGGCGAGAGACCGAUAGCGAACAAGUACCGUGAGGGAAAGAUGAAAAGAACUUUGAAAAGAGAGUUAAACAGUACGUGAAAUUGUCAAAAGGGAAGCGUUUGACACCAGUGUUGUUUUUCCGAAAAUCAAUUACGAAUGGCUUGAUUUUGUGUUGUAUUGACCUUAUUAGCUUUCUGCACUUUUUUCGAGUCUUUCUUAAUGCACUUUUCGGUUAACAAGUCAACAUCAAUUUCUUUUGUUGUAAAAGAGUAUUCGGAAGGUGGCUUUCUUUUCGGAGAAAGUGUUUAUAGCCCUAUACUUCUACAAUCGGAGAGAUUGAGGUCUGCAGCGUAGAUCCUUCGGGGUUAGAUACACUUGUGCUAAGUUGUAGCUUUUCAUAGACAACUUGUUGACUAUGUUUAGUCAUGCGGCUUACUCGCUUGUGCUAUUUUACCUACGCUUAGGAUGUUGACAAAAUGGUUUUAAACGACCCGUCUUGAAACACGGACC
rnacentral:rRNA from 1 species